GCAUGAACGCUGGCGGUAUGCUUAACACAUGCAAGUCGAACGAAAUACGAUGGGGUUUACUCUAUCGUAUGGCAGUGGCGGACGGGUGCGUAACGCGUAAGAACUUACCUUUUGGCGAGGGACAACCGCGGGAAACUGCGGCUAAUACCUCAUAGAGCUGAGGAGCGAAAGGUGAAAACCACCAAAAGAGAGGCUUGCGUCUGAUUAGCUAGUUGGUGAGGGUAAUGGCCUCCCAAGGCGACGAUCAGUAGCUGGUCUGAGAGGAUGAUCAGCCACACUGGAACUGAGACACGGUCCAGACUCCUACGGGAGGCAGCAGUGAGGAAUUUUCCGCAAUGGGCGAAAGCCUGACGGAGCAAUACCGCGUGGAGGAGGAAGGCCCGUGGGUCGUAAACUCCUUUUCUCAGAGAAGAACACAAUGACGGUAUCUGAGGAAUAAGCAUCGGCUAACUCCGUGC
rnacentral:rRNA from 1 species